rnacentral:rRNA from 1 species
UGGGGGAUAUUGCACAAUGGGCGAAAGCCUGAUGCAGCGACGCCGCGGGGGGGAUGAAGGAUGGCGGGUUGUAAACCUCUUUUGCUCUGAACAAGGCAUGCCUUUGGGGUGUGCUGAGUGUAGGGGUUGAUUAGCGCCGGCUAACUACGUGCCAGCAGCCGCGGUAAUACGUAGGGCGCGAGCGGAGUCCGGAAUUAUUGGGCGUAAAGGGCUAGUAGGUGGCUGGUUGCGUCUGUCGUGAAAGCUCAUGGCUUAACUGUGGGUUUGCGGUGGGUACGGGCUGGCUUGAGUGCAGUAGUGGAGGCUGGAAGUCCUGGUGUAGCGGUGGAAUGCGCAGAUAUCAGGAGGAAUACCGGUGGCGAAGGCGGGUCUCUGGGCUGUUACUGACGCUGAGGAGCGAAAGCGUGGGGAGCGAACAGG